AGGCAGCAGUGGGGGAUAUUGCACAAUGGGGGAAACCCUGAUGCAGCGACACCGCGUGGGUGAAGGAGCACUUCGGUGCGUAAAGCCCUAUCGGCAGGGAAGAAGAGGGGGAAACCCCAGACGGUACCUGACUAAGAAGCCCCGGCUAACUACGUGCC
rnacentral:rRNA from 1 species